rnacentral:rRNA from 1 species
UACGGAGGGUGCGAGCGUUGUCCGGAAUCAUUGGGCGUAAAGCGUCCGCAGGUGGCUAUGUAAGUCUGCUGUUAAAGAGUGAGGCUCAACCUCAUAAGAGCAGUGGAAACUACAUGGCUAGAGUGCGUUCGGGGCAGAGGGAAUUCCUGGUGUAGCGGUGAAAUGCGUAGAGAUCAGGAAGAACACCGGUGGCGAAAGCGCUCUGCUAGGCCGCAACUGACACUCAUGGACGAAAGCUAGGGGAGCGAAUGGG